GGCCGUGCCGGAGGCUGUUGGAAUGGCCGGGAGCGGCCGCGGGUUCCUGUGGCGCAGCCUCUGUGGGAGCUGCGGCUUCGUGCUCUCAGUUGGUUGUUUCCCGUGGGGUUCUGGGGUUCUGCUCGGGUUUUAGGGAUGCCUCUGCAGGGCUGAUGGAUCUGAGUUUGUCCUUGGAGUCACACAUCUACCAAGUGCAGAGAAAGAGUUGAAAUUGACUUUGGAUUCACCUCCACUGGUGAGGGCUGGCCUUAGGCUCGAAUUCCUCCCUUGAAGGUAAGUGCUGGAGAAGUGAUGGAAGACAGCAACUAUGUGUACAGAAAGCAUCCCGGCAGUCGCAAAUUACUUGGGAAACAGGGGAGCUUCAAAGAUCUUGAUGAGAACAUUAGUUGCAGGCUGAUCCACUGAACAGUCAGUGGAUGCCAUCUCACUAUGAUAUUACUUGGUGAAAAUCUAUUUUGAAUGUCUGGUGGUGUCUUUACACUAAUUUGGAAACUUUCAGCAGGGACUGUUAAAAGUGCUAUAGUGGCUAUGCCAAAUCAGACUAAAUACUACUCUAGCUAAGAAAUCUUUUGCCAGUAGCAAAUGUCCGUAGUAGAACCAGGACAAACAUGUACUCCCUUGUAUACUUUUCCCAGUGAUUGCAGUGGCAUUAACAAGAGCAGUAAGUUUUAGGGGAAGCUGUUAACACACUGCUUACAGGAUUUAUCUCAUGCAAUUGUGCAGAAUCCAGACUUAGGGAACAUCCCCUAAAUACAGACUAUGCAUUUCUGACUGUCAAGCAAGAUGUCAGCACAGUAAAAGGUGAAUUUGCAUAGUCAUUUCCAUCUUUCUUAAGUGAAACUUCACACUGAAAGGGAAGCUAACUCCAAAUAAACUCUGAAUGUUAUAAAAGAUACAAACAGGAUGUUAGUGGCUUAC